CUGAUGAACAAGCCUGGGAGGCUUGCGCUGGUGAAGUCUGUGCUGAGCGCCAUCCCCGUGCAUCAACUACUCGCCUAUGCGCCGCCUAAGAAGACGCUUCGUCAAAUUGAGAAGAUUGAGCGCGACUUCUUGUGGGCCGGCCGCGCUGCCGCCAAUGGAGGCCACUGCCAUGUCAACUGGCGCCGCGUUUGCCGCCCCAUAUCGUACGGAGGCCUGGGUGUCCAGGACCUGGAGCGCGCUGGCCUUGCUCUACGGCUACGAUGGCUAUGGUUCUCGCGCACUGACCAUGAGCGCGCCUGGAAUGGCCUCGACCUACAAUUCUCUGCCGAGGAGCGAGCGCUCUUCUUCGCGUCCACCACGAUGACCCUCGGAAACGGAACAACGGCAUAUUUCUGG
rnacentral:rRNA from 1 species